rnacentral:lncRNA from 1 species
GAUAGUUCCAUGUGAAACUUUUUAGUAGCUUUUACACAAUCUUCUUUUUUGCGAAAUGUGUCUUCUUGUUUCAAAGAUCCUUGCAUUUACACAUAAGGAUUGUACCAUAUAUCUGAUGAAGGUUCAUCGGAACCCAAAUUCAACCUUGUCAUGUGUUGAGAUGGACAGUAUACAUGACUAGCUGGUAAUGGCUUCUCUUCUUCAUCAGCGUUC